GAAGGGCAGCACCUCAAACUCCCUUGACAACGAGAUGAGACAACUCAAGGAACAUGGUCAUGUUCUUGGCAGGAUUCAUCCUGGUUUCUAUGACAUCAGGAAGAGAUUGAAGGAAGAUCUUGAGAGAAUGUUGGCUGAGAGACGAUGAGGAGUCAAAAAGAUGACGGCCGGUAAACGUCUCAAGUCAAGUGAUGGUACAUGUACACAAUAAACAAUGAAGAUGACACCCAGAUGAAGAAAAGAGCGACUACAAAGAACUACAAAGAGUGGUGGAAUUAUUUCACAGGGUAUUUGUUACCAGUCCUAUCUUCACUUUGAGGUUUCUGUCAUUAAAUCGGUAGGUGCUUAUCUGGGUUAUUGCAAAUGAUCUUACAUGGCUUUAAAAAGUGAAGUUAACAGAAAUACAGAAUAAUUGAUAUUGUACAGGCUGUAAUUUCCAUUAUCAGAAAAUGUAAUGUAGAAAUAGCACAGAAUACAAUGAGUAGAUUUAUGUUCUAUUAGGAACAAAUUGAAGAAAAUACAUAAAGGGAGUUUACAAAGUCUUGUUGUGACUACUAAGAUCUACAUACAGUGGUAAAUUGUUAAACACUAAAAAGUCUACUUGAACAUUUAAUUUUUACAAUAAGAUUGAUACUUUGCAAACAAAUUCAUAAUUCUUUAUUUUUGCUGAAACCCAAACUGAAGUGA